CAGCCGCCGCGGUAAUACGGAGGGUGCAAGCGUUAAUCGGAAUUACUGGGCGUAAAGCGCACGCAGGCGGUCUGACAAGUCAGAUGUGAAAUCCCCGGGCUUAACCUGGGAACUGCAUUUGAAACUGUCAGGCUGGAGUCUUGUAGAGGGGGGUAGAAUUCCAGGUGUAGCGGUGAAAUGCGUAGAGAUCUGGAGGAAUACCGGUGGCGAAGGCGGCCCCCUGGACAAAGACUGACGCUCAGGUGCGAAAGCGUGGGGAGCAAACAGGAUUAGAUACCUUAGUAGUCCCUGUCUCUUAUAC
rnacentral:rRNA from 1 species